rnacentral:ncRNA from 1 species
AGAUCCGAGUUUAACGCCAGGCAGCAGAUUUUUAUCGGCAUUGACCUGUUUGCAAGGAAAUAAUUAAAUAUACAAUUGGAUGUUGUAUUCUAGUGAACGUGGCUGGAUAACACACAAAGAAAAGUUUACCAUAUCUAGACCGGAACGUUUACUUUGAAAAAAGUAGAGUGUUCAAAGCAGGCUCUCGAGCCUGGAUAAUUUGCAUUGAAUAACGGAAUAGGACCUCAUUUCUAGUUUGUUGGUUUUCGGAGCGCGAGGUAAUGAUUAAUUUCGGAGCGCGAGGUAAUUAGAGGGACAGACGGGGGCAUUCGUACUGUGCCGGUAUAGGAGAAAUUCUUGGAUCGGCGAGACGAACGACUGCGAAAGCAUGUGCCAAGAAUGUUUUCUUUAACCAAGAGCGAAAGUCAGAGGUUCUAAGUAAAGUUUACCAUAUACAAUUGGGUGUUGUAUUCUAGUGAACGGGGCUGGAUAACACACACAGAGAAGGUAGUUUACCA